GGUGUUUGGUAAUGAUAAUUGUGCAGGUUGUGAGCUUUUAACUAACCUCAUUUCCAUGCAUAUCGACAAGUGUUUUCAGCUCCGCACGCCUCAGCAGAGCAGAGUGCCCCUUCCCAAGCAGCAAGUCCAAAAGCUUGUGCUUUGAUGAGGACUUCGAGAUCAACGAGGCUGAGAGACAUCAGUCCUAGAGUAAGGCCAGACAUGAGUCCUGCGAAACAAACAAGCGCGAUGCAUAUCACUAGAUACACCCAAAACAUUGUUUCACAACAUGGGACAUCGUUUGCUGCCAUUGCAAUCUAAACAGAAUUACUUGCAACUGCUCCAUGUGGUAUCUCGGCCGGUAAGGCAUUUGUAAGAAUAGAAGACAUCUCGAUAACAAGUAUGCCACUCGAUCAACUAGGCCACCCUGAAGGACUUUUCCUAUCCUGAGUUUCAAGGCUCUUGUGGAUGCUGGAUUCUAUGUUUUCCCCCUUCACGAGUUCAAAGGCAGGUACCAAGAAAAGCACCAAAGGUAUAGUAGUAACUAAAUGUUAAAUGUCAUAGUUAUUCUUGGAUGUAAUAGAAUAGAGUCGUGCACAGUUCAGUUUAAAAAAGUAGCAUAACACAAACUGGGAUAUAUUAGGUAAUUGAUUCAGUGGAAAUGUGGCUGAAUGACGAAACAAAAGGAGUCUUCUUUUAUGCAGUAGGUAUUCUAUGUUUUUUCUCU